UACGUAGGGAGCAAGCGUUGUUCGGAUUUACUGGGCGUAAAGGGCGUGUAGGCGGUUAGUUAAGUCUGGCGUGAAAGCUCUCGGCUAAACCGGGAGAGGUCGUUGGAUACUGGCAAACUAGAGGACGGUAGAGGCGUGUGGAAUUCCGGGUGUAGUGGUGAAAUGCGUAGAGAUCCGGAGGAACACCAGUGGCGAAGGCGACACGCUGGGCCGUACCUGACGCUAAAGCGCGACAGCAUGGGGAGCAAACGGG
rnacentral:rRNA from 1 species